rnacentral:lncRNA from 1 species
AUCAAACCGUCAAACUUGUUUGUAUAUGCUUCGAGAUCGCAUAUGCCAAAAAUCACAAAAAACAAACAUUCAGAGAUCAAGUAAUGAGACAAAACUUUUCGACGGUUAUAAAACAAAAAAUCACGAUUUAACGGUUAUUUUAACUUCGAUUUUGAUGAUUUUUUACAACUACACUUGUUGACCCUAUACGAAUACAAUGAAUGAAUUCGAUCGUCAAUUUAAAAUAUUUACACAAGUG